rnacentral:rRNA from 1 species
AGUGAACGCUGGCGGUAGGCCUAACACAUGCAAGUCGAACGGCAGCACAGUAAGAGCUUGCUCUUACGGGUGGCGAGUGGCGGACGGGUGAGGAAUACAUCGGAAUCUACUUUUUCGUGGGGGAUAACGUAGGGAAACUUACGCUAAUACCGCAUACGACCUACGGGUGAAAGCAGGGGAUCUUCGGACCUUGCGCGAUUGAAUGAGCCGAUGUCGGAUUAGCUAGUUGGCGGGGUAAAGGCCCACCAAGGCGACGAUCCGUAGCUGGUCUGAGAGGAUGAUCAGCCACACUGGAACUGAGACACGGUCCAGACUCCUACGGGAGGCAGCAGUGGGGAAUAUUGGACAAGGGGCGCAAGCCUGAUCCAGCCAUACCGCGUGGGUGAAGAAGGCCUUCGGGUUGUAAAGCCCUUUUGUUGGGAAAGAAAAGCAGCAGGUUAAUACCCCGCUGUUCGGACGGUACCCAAAGAAUAAGCACCGGCUAACUUCGU